rnacentral:rRNA from 1 species
AAAUGUAGAGGGAAGAGCACAAGAUUGAAAGCUGGCGUCUUCGGCGUCCGCAUUGUAAUCUCAAGAAGUGUUUUCCGCUUCGGACCAUGCCUAAGUCCCUUGGAAAAGGGCAUCAUAGAGGGUGAUAAUCCCGUACAUGGCAUGGAGCGCCCGAAGCUUUGUGAUACGCUUUCUAAGAGUCGAGUUGUUUGGGAAUGCAGCUCAAAAUGGGUGGUAAAUGCCAUCUAAGGCUAAAUAUUGGGGAGAGACCGAUAGCGAACAAGUACAGUGAUGGAAAGAUGAAAAGAACUUUGAAAAGAGAGUUAAACAGUACGUGAAAUUGCCAAAAGGGAAGGGUAGGAGGUCAGAGAUGCGGCCUGGGAUUCAGCCUUGCUUUUGCUUGGUGUUUUUCCCAGAUUGCAGGCCAACGUCGGUUUUGGGCACUGGAGAAGGGUAGGAGGAACGUGGCACCUCUCGGGGUGUGUUAUAGCCUCCUACUGGAUACAGCGACCGAGACCGAGGACAGCAGCGUACUCGCAAGAGCGGGCCUUCGGGCACCUUUACGCUUAGGGCGUUGGCAUAAUGGCCCUCUACCACCCGUCUG